AGAUCCAUUUUCUGCCACCGAAUACAUUAGCAUGGGAUAAUGGAAUAGGACCCUGUCCUCCUAUUUUCAGUUGGUUUUGGCAGCGCGAGGACUAGGGUAAUGAUUAAUAGGGAUAGUUGGGGGCAUUAAUAUUUAAUUGUCAGAGGUGAAAUUCUUGGAUUUAUGAAAGAUUAACUUCUGCGAAAGCAUCUGCCAAGGAUGUUUUCAUUAAUCAAGAACGAAAGUUAGGGGAUCGAAGACGAUCAGAUACCGUCGUAGUCUUAACCAUAAACGAUGCCGACCAGCGAUUAGGAGACGUUGAAUACAAAACACCACCAUCGGCGCGGUCGUCCUUGGCGUCGGUCUUUCGGGGCCGGCGCGGGGGCGGCUUAGCCCGGUGGCACCGGUGAAUGACUCCCUA
rnacentral:rRNA from 1 species